rnacentral:rRNA from 1 species
GAUCAUGGCUCAGACGAACGCUGGCGGCAUGGAUUAGGCAUGCAAGUCGACGGAGCAGCAAUGCUCCAGUGGCGCAAGGGUGAGGAACACGUGAACAACCUGCCUUCGAUUGGGGAUAGCUUCUGGAAACGGGAGAUAAUACCGAAUAACAUCACCGGAUCGCAUGAUCUGAUGAUCAAAGCAGCAAUGCGCUUGAAGAGGGGUUCGCGUCCAUUAGCUAGUUGGUGAGGUAACGGCCCACCAAGGCGAUGAUCGGGUAGCUGGUCUGAGAGGACGAUCAGCCACAUUGGGACUGAGAUACUGCCCAGACUCCUACGGGAGGCUGCAGUCGAGAAUUUUGGGCAAUGGACGAAAGUCUGACCCAAGCAAUGCCGCGUGCGGGAUGAAGGUCUUCGGAUUGUAAACCGCUGUCAAGAGGGACGAAACAUGACGGUACCUCUGGAGGAAGCCACGGCUAACUACGUGCCAGCCGCCGC